rnacentral:sRNA from 1 species
GACCAUCCAUUUGUCAUCACUUUAGCAUCAUAUCAUCACUGUUUUAUACCAUUUCUGAUCAUUUGACAUCACUUUGCAUGUUUAGGAUAGUUUUGCAUGCAUGUUGCAUAUUUGUGUUGUUUUCAGGUGAUUCGGAGCUGGUGACGAGCUAAUUGGAAGAAGUGGACCUGAUCAUGUCAAACCACUCGACCCCCAGGUCGAGUAGACGCUUCAGGACCUCAACAGACCACUCGACCCCCUU